ACUCACGACUCACAAGAAAC
rnacentral:snRNA from 1 species